rnacentral:tRNA from 2 species
GCCGCUUUAGCUAAGUUGGUAGAGCACAUCAUUCGUAAUGAUGGGUCGCGUGUUCGAGCCACGCAAGCGCACCA